rnacentral:rRNA from 1 species
UACAGAGGUCUCAAGCGUUGUUCGGAUUCAUUGGGCGUAAAGGGUGCGUAGGCGGCGCGGUAAGUCGGGUGUGAAAUCUCGGAGCUUAACUCCGAAACUGCAUUCGAUACUGCCGUGCUUGAGGACUGGAGAGGAGACUGGAAUUUACGGUGUAGCGGUGAAAUGCGUAGAUAUCGUAAGGAAGACCAGUGGCGAAGGCGGGUCUCUGGACAGUUUCCUGACGCUGAGGCACGAAGGUCAGGGGGAGCAAAACGGGG